GGCCGCGGGGGUGGAGCGGCCGCAGCUGCCCACACCCCCGGGAGCUCGGCUCUGCUUGCCGAGCCCAGCAGACAACUAACAAGCUUUUGCUGAUUGAAUGAAUGCAUUGUAAACUCCGUUACGGGGAGAAACUCGAGGUUUAACCUCUAUCCCACCCUAUUACAUCCGCAGAUGGUUACAUAUUAAAAGAAGCCUCGGGCAGAGAGCAGCGCUCCCUCGGAGCUUUGUGCCCUCGGUUUGGAGACGACGUGCCUGAAGGAUGGGAUGGGUGGUGGCGCUUAGCGCCUCUCCUCAAAGCCGCCGCUGGGAUGGACUCAGGCCCCAGGGGAGCCCCGUACCCCGCGCCGGUUGGCACGGAGGGUGUCAGGGCCAGCGGGCAGAAUACCACCUGAUGGCUCAGCAGCCUAGCACUCUCUGCCCCUCUGGGAAGACAGAAGCCCCCUACCCUUCCAGAGCAGCAAAGAAAGGGUAGGCAAAGGGAAGACAGCCGGAGCUCUCACACCUGCAGCAAAAGGAAUGGAAACCAUGCAACACCUGGCAGACAGGUAGCAAGAGCUCACCAGCAUAGCCAAAGUGCCUUUCUCCAAACACCAGAGAGAGCAAGAGACUGCAAGCAAGGGGAGUGGCAGAAGGAAAGGGAGAAG